rnacentral:sRNA from 2 species
UGUAUUUCCGCAAGGGGAAGGAUGAGAAGCUUCGACUAAGGUUCGAUUCGAGCGCAGCGAGAAAGCGUUGCCGCAGGCAACGACCCGAAGGGCGAGGCGCAACGCGCCGAGUAAUCCUUCCCCUACCACCA